ACGCUGGCGGCGUGCCUAAUACAUGCAAGUAGAACGCUGAAGCUUGGUGCUUGCACCGAGCGGAUGAGUUGCGAACGGGUGAGUAACGCGUAGGUAACCUGCCUCUUAGCGGGGGAUAACUAUUGGAAACGAUAGCUAAUACCGCAUAAAAGUUGAUAUCGCAUGAUAUUGAUUUGAAAGGUGCAAUUGCAUCACUAAGAGAUGGACCUGCGUUGUAUUAGCUAGUUGGUGAGGUAACGGCUCACCAAGGCGACGAUACAUAGCCGACCUGAGAGGGUGAUCGGCCACACUGGGACUGAGACACGGCCCAGACUCCUACGGGAGGCAGCAGUAGGGAAUCUUCGGCAAUGGGGGCAACCCUGACCGAGCAACGCCGCGUGAGUGAAGAAGGUUUUCGGAUCGUAAAGCUCUGUUGUAAGAGAAGAACGAGUGUGAGAGUGGAAAGUUCACACUGUGACGGUAACUUACCAGAAAGGGACGGCUAACUACGUGCCAGCAGCCGCGGUAAUACGUAGGUCCCGAGCGUUAUCCGGAUUUAUUGGGCGUAAAGCGAGCGCAGGCGGUUAGAUAAGUCUGAAGUUAAAGGCUGUGGCUUAACCAUAGUACGCUUUGGAAACUGUUUAACUUGAGUGCAGAAGGGGAGAGUGGAAUUCCAUGUGUAGCGGUGAAAUGCGUAGAUAUAUGGAGGAACACCGGUGGCGAAAGCGGCUCUCUGGUCUGUAACUGACGCUGAGGCUCGAAAGCGUGGGGAGCAAACAGGAUUAGAUACCCUGGUAGUCCACGCCGUAAACAAUGAGUGCUAGGUGUUGGGUCCUUUCCGGGACUCAGUGCCCCAGCUAACGCAUUAAGCACUCCGCCUGGGGAGUACGACCGCAAGGUUGAAACUCAAAGGAAUUGACGGG
rnacentral:rRNA from 1 species